UUCAUGCCCACCUGGAUGUCGAUCUUAGUCAUACGGAUUGAGUUUAUGACUAGAGACACAUUCAGCUGGGCUAAUGC
rfam:Haemonchus contortus, ISE/inbred ISE, WGS project CAVP01000000 data, contig: Hcontortus_33776